UAUUGAUGCUUUGAAGUGUGAUUGUGAUCUGGGUCUCCGGGUUUGUUUGAUCCUCAGUGCUGCAGCUGUUAGACACUGGCUGCUCAGCGCAUCCCUCCCUCUGUUGGAUCUGCCUUUGGAAAAAAUUGGCACAUAAUAUCCACGAGUGGGCCGAGGUGGGCAGAGAUAUUCCCCGGCUGCAGGAUGGAAGAGGGAACAAUGGAGUUGCCAGGGCUGCUGGUGAAGAGAAAGUUGGGGAAGGUACUGGCCUGAGGUGCCACGACAGACUCCUUCACCAACUCCGGGACAGCCAGUGCUAGAGUAGAGCUCAGACUAAGCACUAACGCAUCUUUAGAAGCACACCCUCCACUAUUGCCGAUUCUGGCUCUUUGGUGGGUACUCAUGUGUGAUUACAUAGCACAGGGUGAUGAGUGAGCAGAUCAUGGAUGAGCUGGAAUAUGUAAAAGAGGCAGCUGUGGGCAGUGUCCCCUUGGAGGAUCGAGGAUAAAACACAGCCCUGCUCAGCCGGAUGCAGAUGCAGGACACCAGGAGUCCGAACGGAUGCUAUAGUUAGAUUAGCAGUAACAGAGGUACUUCUACAGGUUCGAGUUCCCUGUGGCAGUGUACAGUCAUGGGCUCAGAAUGGAGGAGUCCAUCCAGCUCGUGUAUCAUUAUGGCUUAGGGGAUUUGAAUGUAUUAACUCUUUUCAUUAAAAGAGUGACCAAUCACAUGGAAAAAUUAUACAUGGCAGCAUUUGCAGUUUAUGCAGGAACUGCAUUGAUCUUUGCAUGCCAUGCUGAGCCUCUGAUUGGUCUGUGGUUCAAAUGGUGCAGAGAUACUCGGAGGAAAUGCCACUUGUGCCUCAGCUGGUGCUCCUGUGUGGAGCUGAGGCUGCCACUGAGGAGGAUGAGAGUGCCAUUCUCAUGGGGCGCAAUCAUCAUCAUCAUCAUCGAUUCCUUGGAUCCUCUGAAGGAGUAUCCAUCUCCCCCUGCAAUCACUCUAGAGGUGCAUUCAUUCAAAUCCCCCUUCCAGGCUGCCAGCUCCACAUUGGAGAUGACUGCCACAUGUGUCUCAGCCAAUUGCAAAAACUAGUAAGCUAGAUGACUCAAUCAGAUCUAUUGCAGUCAACUGGGAACACUGCAGAGAAGGUAUUGAGGGCAAAGGCAGAGCACCAAUUGGGUUACUGUACAGUUUUUGCCUUUUUGAACACUGUGUAAGUGUUGACACAUGAACCCAGAUGUGUGUGAGCCUCCUUUUAUUAAUGAUGGUACUUUGAAGAAGGGGUAAGGGUCUAUGAACAGUGACAUUGAAACUUGUGGACAGAUGUGUGUUCAUCAUUGGUAGGAGUUAAAGCUGUGUUUUUUUUUGUGGGCAUGUUCUCAGAGGCAUCUUAAAAGUAAGUUCCAUACCACGCCUGUGUUGGAGGGGCUCAGCUGAAAUGUGCCUGGAUCAGAUAAUCCCUGUUAAUAUCUUCCUGAUGUGACCCUCAGGCCUUGGUGUAGGCUUGAUUGCUUUCCUGUGCAGUUAGGGAAUUUCUGUGAUCCGCAUCUUACUUCUCCUCCUCCUCCUUUCUUCAAUGAGUUGUGUCCUUUCAAUGUUACAGUGUCUUCAACGUCCAGACCUCUCUGGAGAGCUAUGCAUGGAGAGCUUAGCAAAUCACCAUUGUACAUGAGGGCUUUACAAGAGUGUACUGCUGGGUACCUUUGACCAAUGCAGGCAUUGAAACAACAUCUUUAGAACCCAGAAGGACCACUGGUUGAUGCUUUUGAGAUGGUGCCUUUUGGCAUCUCUGUUUUGAGUUCUCGAAGAGGGGUGAGUAAUCAUCUCUUUAAGAGAUAUCUCUUAGAUCUAUCCAUUGUGUUUGUGGGGUUGAAUAACGAACUGGAGCACCUUGGACUGCCAUCAAAUGAAGUAAUCAUGGCUGCAGCCAGAAAAGUGAGCACUCGGACGCAGGAAGCUCUUGUUGUGAUCACAGAUCAGUUGAACAUUGAGGGAGUCGAAGACCUUCUGUUGAUGAAUCUCACCUGACAUUCAUAUUGUGUCUUUAUAAUUAUAUUGGUACAAUUGGUGUGAUUCUGUAUCUGGGGAAUUCAGCCAUGAGAUGGAACGCACUGACCUAUCUGGUUGUGAGGUCCAGUUGUCUGGAAUUGUAUUUACUGCUCUGAUUUUGCAAACAAAAAAAGGUAAUCUCUGAGCUGCAAGAUGGAAUAAUGCAUAGCUGAUCCUUGGAAGGAGCUAGACCAAAAGUUGUUCCUGCCCAGUUGCCAGGGCAUAGCCAACAGAGCUGUGAGGUGUGAGGUUUUCCACAAUAAGAAAACACAUUUAUGUGACUAACUGCGUGGAGAGUUGAAGUGUCCUCCAGUGUUUUUUUUUCGUCUUCUGUGUGUAUCUCUGUCUUCAAUAUCUUAUCCAAUGCUGAGGAAUGGUCCCUCUUGCCUUCCUAUCUCUUAUCAUUCUCAUCUACCUGCCUGAUGCCCAGGGCUUUGACUGUCUUGAGGAGGCUGUUGGUUUUUUUUAUCAAAAUCAGAUAGUGGCAUAUCUGUUGUCACCUGCAAUUUUCUUUCUGCUCAGGUGGCUUUCCAGUUAUAUUUGAAAGCCGUGCCCCUCCCCUUAUGCCACCAUGGUUCCAGCACACAGCUAUCUCAUGCAUUGUCCAAGUGCUUUCUGAUAAUUCUUCCGGCAACCUGAAUUGUGCCAAUACUAAGACCUAUUUUUGUACCAUUCCAGCUUUCACCUGAUUCCCAGAGCUUGCUGUUGCUGGCUACCCACUGUGCGUCUGGCUCCAUUUACUUAGCCUGCCUGAGCAGACAGCUGCUACCAACAUCUGAAAACUGCCCUGAAAGAGCUUUUAGAUGAGCUUAACUGCAGUUAUUGCCAGAUUAGGAAUGUUAUGAGGACCACCCUCCCCCUGCCUGGGUGAAAUAUGCUGGUGACAGAAAACUAGCACAUUAUUUGGUGGCGGUAUCUUUAAUCACUAUUCAGUUACAUUCGCGUCUAUGUGGGUUCUAAACACCUUUCUCAUACUUUUUAGUGGCUUUAUAUUGGCUAUUCAGUGCUUUUUAUUUGAACAGAAUAGAACACUCAAGUAUGAUGUGCAGAGGAAUGUAUUUCAAAACUGUGCAAAUAUCAAAAGUGUUGUGGUAAAUUUAAAAAUGCAGUGACUUCUUAAAUAACUGUUAAAUGUUUGAAUUUGUUUAUAUAGGCUUUAUAUUCUAACUGUGUAUUCGGAGCAUUAGAUAUUUUAAAUUAUUCAUAACAUUAACCAGGUUUAGCCAUUAAUUAAAAACUUUCAGAUAGUCAUCAGAAAACUCUCUAUCAAGGCGUAAUUGAAUUUUCACAAAGAGUUUCCUCUGUUGAAGAUGGAAUACAUUGCUUAUCUUCAAAUCAUUCACAGAUUGUGUGAAAAUGUUAGUCAGUAUAUUACAAAUUUGUCAGUCGUCGGAAGAAUUUUCAGGAUGAGAAGUAAUAAUUUUAAUGAAGACUUCCCAUGGGAAAGAUUGCAAGUUUUAAAAAAAUGCGACUGACAGCUUUUUGAGAAGUUGUUCUACCCCAUGGAAGUUACCACUGACAUUUGGGAUUAUUUUCAGUAAUGUGUUCAUUAUUUGCUCAUUGUUUAAGUUUAAAAAAAAUCUGCAUCUCAAGCAAAAGGAAUGAUUAUUCUCAUUCAGUUACUAAAAAGUUAGUGUGAACAUGUGAUAAUCCUUUUUAAUAAACACCAGUCUAAUGUUGUAAUUAUGUACGCUUCGAUACAGUCAUGCAGAAUUGUCAUCCUUGCUGAAAAGCUGCGUUAAUUUUUUUUUAAACCCUGUCCUCC